rnacentral:lncRNA from 1 species
UGUGACUCCAUAGGUUCUAUUCUAUCUGAUAGUGAGAUAUAUUGUGAUCUCCAUCAUAAUAUUAUCGAAACUCUUUUCGAUAGAUUAGAAUAUUUUUAAUUCUAUCCUUCGAGAGUCAUCAAUCAUCAAGAUGAUGCCCGAUGAGUCUCACAAUCUACCAAUGACAUCUAGCAGUAUGUAGUGGCAACUCAGUAGAAUG